AUUGAACGCUGGCGGCAGGCUUAACACAUGCAAGUCGAGCGGAGAUGAGGUGCUUGCACCUUAUCUUAGCGGCGGACGGGUGAGUAAUGCUUAGGAAUCUGCCUAUUAGUGGGGGACAACAUUCCGAAAGGAAUGCUAAUACCGCAUACGUCCUACGGGAGAAAGCAGGGGAUCUUCGGACCUUGCGCUAAUAGAUGAGCCUAAGUCGGAUUAGCUAGUUGGUGGGGUAAAGGCCUACCAAGGCGACGAUCUGUAGCGGGUCUGAGAGGAUGAUCCGCCAAACUGGGACUGAGACACGGCCCAGACUCCUACGGGAGGCAGCAGUGGGGAAUAUUGGACAAUGGGCGCAAGCCUGAUCCAGCCAUGCCGCGUGUGUGAAGAAGGCCUUAUGGUUGUAAAGCACUUUAAGCGAGGAGGAGGCUACUUUAGAUAAUACCUAGAGAUAGUGGACGUUACUCGCAGAAUAAGCACCGGCUAACUCUGUGCCAGCCGCCGCGGUAAGAC
rnacentral:rRNA from 1 species